UUUGUUCUAACACAAAGUAUUUUUCUGUCUUUUUCCUAUAUUGCCAUUGUUAAAGCUUGUGAUAAGUAAUAAAAAAAGGGGAAUAAUCCAUUACAGUAAAAAAAUAGUAUUCAUUGGCAGAUCCAGGGGGGUCCCCCUUUUUAUUGGCCAACAUAUAGUUGAAACAACCCCCCCCCCUUUGUCCUGGGUUGGGAACCCCUCCUUUUUAAAAUUGCUGGAUCCGCCC
rnacentral:lncRNA from 1 species